GCAUUAUUGAUGGGAUUAAUGGGAUUAUUGAUAGAACUGAUGGGAUUAUUGAUACAAUUGAUGGGUUUGAUAGGAUUAUUGAUCGCUUGUAGGUAUUAUUGAUGAGAUUAAUGGGAUUAUUGAUGGGAUUAUUGAUAGAUUUGAUGGGAUUAUUGAUCGCUUGUAGGUAUUAUUGAUGAGAUUAAUGGGAUUAUUGAUGGGAUUAUUGAUAAUUUUGAUGGGAUUAUUGAUACAAUUGAUGAGUUUGAUGUAAUUAUUGAUCGCUUGAAGGCGGUACUGAUGGGAUUAAUGGGAUCAUUAAUAGCUGUGAUGGAAUUAUUGAUAGAAUUGAUGAGUUUAAUGGGAUUAUUGAUCACUUGAAGGCAUUAUUGAUGGGAUUAAUGGGAUUAUUGAUAGGCUUGAUGUAAUUAUUGAUAGAAGUGAUAGGUUUGAUGGGAUUAUUGAUCACUUGCUGACAUUAUUGGUGGGAUUAAUGGGAUUAUUGAUCGCUUGCUG
ensembl:lncRNA